rnacentral:rRNA from 1 species
GUGUCAGCAGCCGCGGUAAUACAGAGGGUGCAAGCGUUGCUCGGAUUUACUGGGCGUAAAGCGUACGCAGACGGCCACGCAGGUCGGGUGUGAAAGCCCCGGGCUCAACCCGGGAAUUGCAUUCGAAACCAUGUGGCUCGAGUGUGGGAGAGGGUAGUGGAAUUCCUGGUGUAGAGGUGAAAUUCGUAGAUAUCAGGAGGAACACCGGCGGCGAAGGCGGCUACCUGGUCCACAACUGACGUUCAGGUACGAAAGCGUGGGGAGCAAACAGGAUUAGAAACCCUCGUAGUCC